ACAAUGGGCGCAMKNGAUACCAGCCAUGCCGCGUGAGUGACGAAGGCCUUAGGGUUGUAAAGCUCUUUUGGCGGGGAAGAUAAUGACGGUACCCGCAGAAUAAGCUCCGGCUAACUUCGUGCCAGCAGCCGCGGUAAUACGAAGGGAGCUAGCGUUGUUCGGAAUCACUGGGCGUAAAGCGCACGUAGGCGGACUUUCAAGUCAGGGGUGAAAUCCCGGGGCUCAACCUCGGAACUGCCUUUGAUACUGUUGGUCUCGAGUCCGGAAGAGGUGAGUGGAAUUCCUAGUGUAGAGGUGAAAUUCGUAGAUAUUAGGAAGAACACCGGUGGCGAAGGCGGCUCACUGGUCCGGUACUGACGCUGAGGUGCGAAASGUGGGGAGCAAACAGGAUUAGAUACCCUGGUAGUCCACGCCGUAAACGAUGGAUGCUAGCCGUUGGCAAGCUUGCUUGUCGGUGGCGCASUAACGCAUUAAGCAUCCCGCCUGGGGAGUACGGCCGCAAGUUAAAACUCAAAGGAAUUGACGGGGGCCCGCACAAGCGUGGAGCAUGUGGUUUAAUUCGACGCAACGCAAGAACCUUACCAGCCCUU
rnacentral:rRNA from 1 species